rnacentral:rRNA from 1 species
UACGGGGGGAGCAAGCGUUGUUCGGAUUUACUGGGCGUAAAGGGCGCGUAGGCGGCCACCGCAAGUCGACUGUGAAAUCUCCGGGCUUAACCCGGAACGGUCAGCCGAUACUGCGGGGCUAGAGUGCAGAAGGGGCAACUGGAAUUCUCGGUGUAGCGGUGAAAUGCGUAGAUAUCGAGAGGAACACCUGCGGCGAAGGCGGGUUGCUGGGCUGACACUGACGUGAUGCGCGAAAGCUAGGGGAGCGAACGGG